rnacentral:rRNA from 1 species
UCCGGUAAGUGAACCUGCGGAGGGAUCAUUA